CUUGUUCUAAAGUUAGCCAGUUUGAAACGUAAGGCAAGCGGUUUGAAACGGUCAAAUUCAACAAAUUACAAACAAAGAAACGCAAGACGAAGCCAGUUCGAGAUACUCUAAAAAGCAAUUCGAGCAGUCCAGUUCUACCAGGGGACUGCGAUCGGGGCAGCUCGGUCUCAUCUGAGCUGCAGGAUGAAUAUGAAGAACUUCUCCACCAUGCAGUGGUCAGUCCUGAGUAUGAGCCGCAGCCCAGUGCUCAACUGCAGCUUCUGAACGCAUCACCACUGUCUGCAGAUGAACAAGGUUCCCGUGGAAACGAUGACACUAGGCCCUAACACUCAGCAGGCCCACAGUGCCCGGCUGGCAGAGCAGCACUACAGUCUGCAGCUGAAGAGGAAGGUGUCGGCAGGCUGGCAUGCCCUCGUCCAGGGGAGGUGGAAACAGAAAUCCACGUGGCAGCUGUGGAUGCGGCCUAGGCUGAGAUCCAGAGCCUGCGGGCAGAGAGGGAGCGUUAUGAGGAGUCCAUGAAGAAGGCUUUUAUGAGGGGUGCAUGUCCUCAACAUGGAGGGCCUCGGCAUGUUCCACUGGAAAGAGACGCACGGCGCACAACAUACAUGAUGCUCCGCCCCUCCAGCACGAUCCUGGCUCAGGCUCAUUGGCCCGCCGCCUCUAUUCGGGUUCAGCCCACUCCACCUUGACCCCCCUGUACCAUCGUGACAAAGACGGUGACUCUCACACACCCUAGUUACAGUGCAUGCAAGUUUUCACUAUUAUGGAUCAGGUUCCGCCAUCAUUAAACAUAUUUUCACAUUU